rnacentral:rRNA from 1 species
CCCUUAGAUGUUCUGGGCCGCUCGCGCGCUACACUGAUGCAUUCAACGAGCCUAUCCUUGACCGACAGGUCCGGGUAAUCUUUGAAUCUGCAUCGUGACGGGGAUAGAUUAUUGCAAUUAUUAAUCUUCAACGAGGAAUGCCUAGUAGGCGCAAGUCAUCAGCUUGCGUCGAUUACGUCCCUGCCCUUUGUACACACCGCCCGUCGCUCCUACCGAUUGGGUGUGCUGGUGAAAUGUUCGGAUCGGCCGUUUGUCGCGGUUUCCGCGUCAUGUGGCUGAGAAGUUCAUUAAACCCUCCCACCUAGAGGAAGGAGAAGUCGUAACA